ACUACAGACCGUGCUAUCGCUUUGGGAGUAAUCCCGACGAGGAAAGUCCGGACAGCAUAGGGCAACGCACCACCUAACGGGUGGGGCCUGGCAACAGGUACAGAAAGUGCCACAGAAAAUAACCGCUCUGCAAAGAGUAAGGGUGAAAAUGUGGGGUAAGAGCCCACGUUCCGUAAUGGUAACAUUAUAGAAGGGUAAACCUUGCGUGCUGAAACGCCAUGUAUACGGUCGAUUGAGGGCGGCUCGCCCGAUGACCGAGGGUAGGCAGAUACAGAGGGCGUGUGAACGUCAUCGCAGAUAAAUGAUAGCAUCACGGGCUUGCCCGUGAACAGAAUCCGGCUUACAGGUUUGUAGUUUUA
rnacentral:RNase_P_RNA from 1 species